UACGGAGGGUGCGAGCGUUAAUCGGAAUUACUGGGCGUAAAGCGCACGUAGGCGGUUAUGUAAGUUGGAUGUGAAAGUCCCGGGCUUAACCUGGGGAUUGCAUCCAAAACUACAUGACUAGAGUAGGGUAGAGGGAGGUAGAAUUUCCGGUGUAGCGGUGAAAUGCGUAGAGAUCGGAAGGAAUACCAGUGGCGAAGGCGGCCUCCUGGAUUCAUACUGACGCUGAGGUGCGAAAGCAUGGGGAGCAAACAGG
rnacentral:rRNA from 1 species